AUACAGAGGGUGCAAGCGUUGUUCGGAAUCACUGGGCGUAAAGCGCAUGUAGGUGGUAUAGUAAGUUGACUGUGAAAUCCCUAGGCUCAACCUAGGACGUGCAUUCAAAGCUGCAAAACUAGAGUGUCGGAGGGGGUGGUGGAAUUCCUAGUGUAGAGGUGAAAUUCGUAGAUAUUAGGAGGAACACCCGUGGCGAAGGCGACCACCUGGACGACAACUGACACUGAGAUGCGAAAGCGUGGGUAGCAAACGGGAUUAGAAACCCUAGUAGUCC
rnacentral:rRNA from 1 species